rnacentral:rRNA from 1 species
UACGUAGGGUGCGAGCGUUGUCCGGAAUUAUUGGGCGUAAAGGGCUCGUAGGCGGUUUGUCGCGUCGGGAGUGAAAACCUUGGGCUUAACUCAGGGCUUGCUUUCGAUACGGGCAGACUAGAGGUAUGCAGGGGAGAACGGAAUUCCUGGUGUAGCGGUGAAAUGCGCAGAUAUCAGGAGGAACACCGGUGGCGAAGGCGGUUCUCUGGGCAUGAUCUGACGCUGAGGCGCGAGAGCGUGGGGAGCAAACGGG